rnacentral:tRNA from 5 species
GCGCCCGUAGCUCAGUUGGAAAGAGCAGGAGCCUUCUAAGCUCUUGGCCGGGGGUUCGAAUCCUCCCGGGCGCGCCA